CACCCGAAUAAGAAGGCCGGCUAACUUCGUGCCAGCAGCCGCGGUAAUACGAAGGGACCUAGCGUAGUUCGGAAUUACUGGGCUUAAAGAGUUCGUAGGUGGUUGAAAAAGUUGGUGGUGAAAUCCCAGAGCUUAACUCUGGAACUGCCAUCAAAACUUUUCAGCUACAGUAUGAUAGAGGAAAGCAGAAUUUCUAGUGUAGAGGUGAAAUUCGUAGAUAUUAGAAAGAAUACCAAUUGCGAAGGCAGCUUUCUGGAUCAUUACUGACACUGAGGAACGAAAGCAUGGGUAGCGAAGAGGAUUAGAUACCCUCGUAGUCCAUGCCGUAAACGAUGUGUGUUAGACGUUGGAAAUUUAUUUUCAGUGUCGCAGCGAAAGCGAUAAACACACCGCCUGGGGAGUACGACCGCAAGGUUAAAACUCAAAUGAAUUGACGG
rnacentral:rRNA from 1 species